CCAAUAGCGUAUAUUAAAGUUGUUGCAGUUAAAAAGCUCGUAGUUGAACUUCGGGAUCAAUUAGUUGGUCAUGCCUUGGUAUGUACUGAUUUUAUUGGUUCUCACCUUCUAAAGAACUAUAAUGUCAUUUAUUUGAUGUUAUAGGGAAUUAGGACUGUUACCUUGAAAAAAUUAGAGUGUUUAAAGCAGGCUCACGCUUGAAUACAUUAGCAUGGAAUAAUGAAAUAGGACAUCGCAUUCUAUUUUGUUGGUUUCUAGGAUCGAUGUAAUGAUUAAUAGGGAUAGUUGGGGGAAUUAGUAUUCAAUUGUCAGAGGUGAAAUUCUUGGAUUUAUUGAAGACUAACUACUGCGAAAGCAUUUGCCAAGGAUGUUUUCAUUAAUCAAGAACGAAAGUUAGGGGAUCGAAGACGAUCAGAUACCGUCGUAGUCUUAACCAUAAACUAUGCCGACUAGGGAUCGGAUGAUGUUGAUUUUUUAAUGACUCAUUCGGCACCUUACG
rnacentral:misc_RNA from 1 species